rnacentral:rRNA from 1 species
AUUGAACGCUGGCGGCAGGCUUAACACAUGCAAGUCGAGCGGGGAAAGGUAGCUUGCUACCUGACCUAGCGGCGGACGGGUGAGUAAUGCUUAGGAAUCUGCCUAUUAGUGGGGGACAACGUUCCGAAAGGAACGCUAAUACCGCAUACGUCCUACGGGGGAAAGCAGGGGAUCUUCGGACCUUGCGCUAAUAGAUGAGCCUAAGUCGGAUUAGCUAGUUGGUGGGGUAAAGGCCUACCAAGGCGACGAUCUGUAGCGGGUCUGAGAGGAUGAUCCGCCACACUGGGACUGAGACACGGCCCAGACUCCUACGGGAGGCAGCAGUGGGGAAUAUUGGACAAUGGGCGCAAGCCUGAUCCAGCCAUGCCGCGUGUGAAGAAGGCCUUUUGGUUGUAAAGCACUUUAAGCGAGGAGGAGGCUCCUUUAGUUAAUACCUAAAGUGAGUGGACGUUACUCGCAGAAUAAGCACCGGCUAACUCUGUGCCAGCAGCCGCAGUAAGAC